GCAGCAGAUGGGGGAAGAGGCCGGGCCACAGAGGGUCACAGGAGGUCUCUGAGCGGAGGAGAAGAAAGAUCAAAAGCUCUACUGUGGGAAGAUUGAUCUGGCUGUGUUUGACAUGCGGGGAGUGAUGUUUAAAAUUCAGUGAAUGAAUGAACGAGGGGAAGAGAGUCUACUGAAGACAGAUGGGGUCAAGGACAUGGCUAAAUAUAUCACCGUGCGGGGACGCUUUGAAGUCAUAUGCAGCCCUUGAUAGGACGAGGCAGACCGACAUGAAUUUAAAGAAAAGCUUUUGUGGAGUACUAAAAAGAAAAAAAAGAAGUAGCAAGUUUUACAAAAGAUCAAAUCACUCUUGGACACUCACACUUACUUCUUGAAGAUACAUAACAAAGUGAAACGAUAAACUUCCAAGGGAGAGAGUGUGGCGGAGCUGGAGAGGCGGUAACGUGAGAUGAGUCGCUUCCUUGUUUCCCAUAUUUUAGUAAGGUUUUGGUUUUCGAAGCGUUUGCACCCUUAAUUUUGGGACUCAUUAUUUCAAACUCCAAUAAUCCUAAGAAUGAAAACUGAAACUUCAGGAUUUUUUAUGGUUUUUAACUUGAUCGUUCCCUUUCACCUCCAAAAGGGCAAGAAUGUGCCCCCGAGUAAGCCAUAUUUAUGGAAAAGCUUGAUAAAAAUGGUGAAUGUUUUGUGUAGGCAGUGAUGGCCACGGUGGCAUGACCUUUCCUGCCUUCAAGUUUUAUUAUAUGAAACGUUCGUACCACCCCCCUGGAAAUGCCGACCUUAUUUUUCUAAGACUCCUUUCCUUUAUUUUUUCAGUCAAAAGGAGGGAAGUAAUUUGCAGAGUUCAGGGUUGUGAUAAUGUACAGGGGCUCAUGCCUUAGAGAGAGUUCAAAGAUGAACUACAACUAAAGGCAUUCGGGGCUCCCCUCUGUAGGCAGGCAGAGGAAGCUGAGAUUUACAAAAGAGAAGGGAGGCGGUGUGCUUACCCCUCAGACCCAGUGACAUGCACCAGGGAAUUAAAAAUAUGCACCGCAUUGUCAAAGA